GAGAGGAGCCCCAGCCCCGGCAUUCCCAGGUGUCCCCAUUCAGUGAUCAGGACUCAACACAGAGACUCACCAUGGAGUCUGGACUCAGAUGGGUUUUCCUUGUUGCUCUGUUACAAGGUGUCCAGUGUGAGGUGCAGCUGGUGGAGUCUGGUGGAGGCUUGGUCCAGCCUGGGGGGUCCCUGACACUCUCCUGUGCAGCCUCUGGAUUCACCUUCAGCAACUAUGGGAUGAGCUGGGUCCGCCAGGCUCCAGGGAAGGGGCUGGAGUGGACACAGAGACUCACCAUGGAGUCUGGGCUCAGCUGGGUUUUCCUUGUUGCUCUGUUACAAGGUGUCCAGUGUGAGGUGCAGCUGGUGGAGUCUGGGGGAGGCUUGGUCCAGCCUGGGGGGUCCCUGACACUCUCCUGUGCAGCCUCCGGAUUCACCUUCAGCAGCUACUGGAUGUACUGGGUCCGCCAGGCUCCAGGGAAGGGGCUGGAGUGGGUCUCAAGCAUUAAUAGUGGUGGUGGUAGCACAUACUACGCAGACGCCGUGAAGGGCCGAUUCACCAUCUCCAGAGACAACAGCAAGAACACGCUGUCUCUGCAAAUGAACAGUCUGAGAGCCGAGGACACGGCCGUGUACUACUGUGCGAAAGACACAGUGAGGGGACAUCAGUGUGAGCCCAGACACAAACCUCCUGCGGGGUCGCGGGUGGCCGCCAGGGGGCGCGCGGUGCACAAGGAGCAGAGUCAGUCCAGGGCAGGUGCCGGUGGAGGGUAA